rnacentral:rRNA from 1 species
UACGGAGGGGGCUAGCGUUGUUCGGAAUUACUGGGCGUAAAGCGCGCGUAGGCGGCCAGCACAAGUCAGUUGUGAAAUCUCCGGGCUUAACUCGGAAAGGUCAACUGAUACUGUGCGGCUAGAGUGCAGAAGGGGCAACUGGAAUUCUCGGUGUAGCGGUGAAAUGCGUAGAUAUCGAGAGGAACACCUGCGGCGAAGGCGGGUUGCUGGGCUGACACUGACGCUGAUGCGCGAAAGCCAGGGGAGCGAACGGG